rnacentral:lncRNA from 1 species
UUUAAUGCAUCUUUGGAUGUUUAGUGCUUUUGCUUUGAUCUUGUUGAGUUGAGUUCUUGAGACACUUACUGAAUUAAUGUCACAUCUGACUUGGUGCUAUUGUAUCCUCCUUUCAUCAUUCAUGCUUUGUUAUGACAUGAUUUCUAUUGCAUCCGUGCACUGUUUACCUGACACUGUUGUUGCUAUGGUUCUUUUGUUUGGUGCAACUCAUGAUUGCAC